rnacentral:misc_RNA from 1 species
UAGUCCUCCACUUACCUUUGUGGUCCAUAUGAAGGCAUUUUUCAUCGGCAAGCGCGAGUACCGGCGUGUGCUGAGCCUACAAGAAACGAUAUUCAACGCCAAGAUCGCUCGACAAGUGAGUGUGCGCCGCGGUGAGUCGAAGCUGCCGCUCUUGCCGGAUGUCGUAAUCCUAGUGGAACACAGCACCCCUGUGUACACCGUAGGUCGACGUGACACCGCUCACGGGCUUCCGCCGCACUGCAGCAUCGACGUCGUCAAGACGCGGCGAGGCGGCGGUAUCACCUACCACGGCCCUGGACAGCUCACCAUGUACCCAAUCGUCAACAUCCAACUUCUGUGGAAAGAUUGCACAGCGGGGAAGCCACGCUCGCCGAUUGAGUGGUUCAGCUGGGCACUGGAAGAGGCAAUGAUUCAGACAGCUGCAAUGUACCACAUACCAACACAUCGAUUCAAGACUGGGGUAUGGGCUGACCAGUACAAAGACAUCCCGGCGCAGAAGCUCGGCGCCAUCGGGCUACAGCUGGGGAGUUGGGUUUCCAUGCAUGGAGCCAGUCUCAACGUCGCAAGCGAUCUGCACUUCUUCGACGACAUAAUUAUGUGUGAGCUGCCGGACCGGCGCGCCACAUCACUCAGCAACGAAAUGCAGCACCGCGGCAUCACCGAGUCGUCACCGCUGGUGCAGGCAACAGCGCCAGUUCUGCUGCAAAAGUUCAUCGAAAGUCUUCACCAGCCGCCGAGCCGCGCUGCGCCGCAGCUGGUGGACUUGUCCGCGGACGCGGACUGGCACGAGCGCGUAAUAGAUGCCGCCGGCAUUUCAACGCCUUAGCGCAGGGACACAUCGCGUCCACGCGCUAACACUCAAAUUUCCGCGCCCUGGCGCAUAGGCUGUGAAAACACCGGCGCGACACCUUACCCAAAACCGGAAAAAAGAAAGGCAUCCUUUACAAAGCGGCAUGCGGGAACCCCCCCACCCUGCCGUCCCGCCACGAAAACCAACCCCCGGCCCCCGCGGGGGCCGCGCCGCUGCUGCCCCUGGGCCAACCCAAAGGGGCCCGGGCCCGGAAGGGGCCGCCGCCCCUCACCCCGGCGAGAGGGGGGGCGGCCGCCGGAGGAAAGCCCGAACCACCACCUUACCCAGCGCCGCCAGGGCCCCGAAACAAAAAAGCCCGGACGCCGCGAACGACAAAGCCGGCGCGCGCAAGCGCACUCGGAGAGGUGCGGCAGUGAGUUGAUUUGCGCUGGCGCAUUUUCUCUACAUCGGAAACGGGCCUUCGUGGUACAUGAGCGCUUUGACACGCCGCUUCCCAGCCCAUCGCACGUGAUUAUAUUACCCUGGGGCGAAACAAGGUGCAUGUGCACAAGAGCAAUAGCAAAUUCCUAUAUGUGCUCACUGGAACGCUGACCCAUGCAUGGAUCUCUAUGAUGUCAAGGUCAGCCAAAACGCAGAAACUUCAUGCAAUUCAAAGUCCGUCGAAAUAGAACUGCUUGCACAGGCAGGUACACAGCUUCUAUGAAGACUUUCUAGUUCGCUCUGUGUUUCCUCCAUUCUUCCCUGCACCUCUCUUGCAUUCAAAUGUGUGAUAUGCUCUCCGAUCAACAAAUAAUCCCAUGUGAACAUAACAG